rnacentral:lncRNA from 1 species
AGAAGCGGUCGGCUGCUGAAGCGGGCGGCUGCGAGCUAGACUGAUCGGCACGCGAAACCGGAGCCCUGGAGAGCGUGCGGCGGCCUGAGGCUGCCUCUCGGGCUGACCAUUCCGGGUUCGGGGUAGGCCGGAGCUCUUCAGGGAGCGUCCCCGCCCCGACGCGCGGGUCCCCGCCUCCCGCGUCCGCACCGCCCCCCGGCUCCGCCCGCUCAGCCCGGCUAACGGUCGGCGCGGCCUGCCACGAGGGAGCGUCCGCGGCCCGCGCAGAGCCGCGCACCAAGCCGAUGGCGGUGGACGCAGCAGGGCCCCGCGGUCUGAGUGCGGGCAGGCGCGCGUGGGCGUGUCUCCCUGGCCCACGCGUGUCCCCGGCAUCAGUGUCUCGGCUCUGGUCCAGGACGAAGACUUCUGAAAGCGAGCCAAGGAGAAUCACAGUUCUUAACGGAGCCCCUGACUGCCCGGUGGAAGGAGGUGAUUUAGAAGACAGUGAGUUGAUCUGGGGCAAAGUGAAGCAUCAGUAGCGCCUUCCAUCCCUUCACCUCACCUGGAUCUCUUCACUUCACUCCACGUCUGUCGUCUCCCAUGCAUGAAGCAACAUGGCCAAGUGAAGCUGCAACCAGUAAAGUCACAGGAUGUUUCUUGGCUUCAAACCAUUUGGAUAAGUGAUGGCAGCAAGCUUCGCCACUGUAAAGUCACCUCUUUGUAAGAAGACAGGAGCUCUUUGUAAAGAAUAUGAGACCUGAGGCUGGGGGAUGGCUGAGAAGGGAAAAGCACCUCUGCACAAGCGUGAGAAAAGGAGUUUGUUCUUCCACAUCCAUGUAGAAAUCUUGAUGCCGUGCCGUGAACCCCAGCUCUCCUACGGGAAGAUGGGAGGCGUAGACAGGAGUUCAUCUGGAAGCUUGAGGCCAGCCACCCAGAUCCUCAGAGCUGCAGACAAAAGAGAGGCCCUGCAGCAAAAGAGUGGAAGGUGAGAACCAACUCCGGAAAGUUGCCCUCUGACCUUUACAAGUGUAUACAUCCACACACAUACAAUAAAAUCAAUUGCUCAAUCACGUA